rnacentral:tRNA from 1 species
GUCGGGAUAGCUCAGCUGGUAGGAGCAGGAGGACUGA